rnacentral:rRNA from 1 species
CCCUUAGAUGUUCUGGGCCGCACGCGCGCUACACUGACGAAUGCAACGAGCUUAUAACCUUGGCCGAAAGGUCUGGGUAAUCUCCAAAUUUCGUCGUGAUGGGGAUAGAUUAUUGCAAUUAUUAAUUUUCAACGAGGAAUGCCUAGUAAGCGCAAGUCAUCAGCUUGCGUUGAUUACGUCCCUGCCCUUUGUACACACCGCCCGUCGCUCCUACCGAUUGAAUGGUCCGGUGAAGCGUUCGGACCGUGGCCUUUGGACGGUUCGCCGUCUGUUGGCUGCGGGAAGUUCGUUAAACCUUAUCAUUUAGAGGAAGGAGAAGUCGUANCA